CCUACGGGAGGCAGCAGUAGGGAAUAUUGCACAAUGGGCGAAAGCCUGAUGCAGCAACGCCGCGUGCCCAAUGAAGGUCUUCGGAUCGUAAAGCGCUUUUCUGGAGAUGAGAAAGGACAGUAUCCCAGGAAUAAGUCUCGGCUAACUACGUGCCAGCAGCCGCGGUAAAACGUAGGAGGCGAGCGUUAUCCGGAUUCACUGGGCGUAAAGCGCGUGCAGGUGGUUUGGUAAGUUGGGCGUGAAAUCUCCCGGCUCAACUGGGAGAGGUCGUUCAAUACUACCGAGCUAGAGAGCAGAAGAGGAAGAUGGAAUUCCCGGUGUAGUGGUGAAAUGCGUAGAUAUCGGGAGGAACACCAGUGGCGAAGGCGAUCUUCUGGUCUGUUUCUGACACUCAGACGCGACAGCUAGGGUAGUAAACGGGAUUAGAGACCCCGGUAAUCCUAGCCGUAAACGAUGUGAACUUGGCGUUGGUGGGUUAAACUCCAUCAGUGCCGAAGCAAACGCGAUAAGUUCACCGCCUGGGGACUACGGCCGCAAGGUUAAAACUCAAAGGAAUUGACGG
rnacentral:rRNA from 1 species